rnacentral:lncRNA from 1 species
GGAGUUUCAGUGAUGAAGAUGCCAAGGCACAUUGUAAGAGCUAUAAAGAGAGAGGGAGUGGGAGAGAGAACAGGCAGAACCUGAUAUGUAAAUGAGUAGAGGAAACAAAAGCAACUUUCAACGACCGAAUGAUCAUUUCAGACUCUGGUUCUAUUGAGAGAGAGAUAAAAGGCUGGUUGAAUGAGUUGCCUAUGAAAGCUACUUCAUCUGCAAUAAAACAGACGGCUGCACCAGUGACUGGGUUAGUUCACCAAAAUGAGUCUCUCUGGGGAGAGAGAAGGGGGACCUGCCUCUAAAAUGAGUCUCUCUGAGGAGAGAGAGGAAGGACCUGCCUCUAAAAUGAGUCUCUCUGGGGAACAUGACACCAAAUCUAAGUGGUGAGAUGACACUUUUUGAUAUUAUUAUUAUGAGUGUAACGGCUGAUUUCUUCCUCUUCCUCUGAAGAGGUGUAGCAAGGAUCGGACCAAGAUGCGGCGUCGUAAGUGUCCAUGUUUAAAUAAGAAAAACUCAACAUGAACACAAAAAUAAUAAAUGUGAACAAACCGAAACAGUCACGUGUAGCACAAACACUGACACAGGAAACAAUCACCCACAAACCAACAGUGAAAAACAGGCUACCAAUGUAUGAUUCUCAAUCAGAGACAACUAACUGCCUCUGAUCGAGAACCAUACUAGGCCGAACACAGAAAUAGAAAGACAUAGAAACACAAAACAUAGACUGCCCACCUCAACUCACGCUCCGACCAUACUAAAAUAAAGACAAAACAAAGGAAAUAAAGGUCAGAACGUGACAAUGAGUUUAUUUCCAAAAUGUAUCACCGUUGUUUUUUAAUCAGA